rnacentral:rRNA from 1 species
AACGUAGGAGACAAACGUUAUCCGGAGUUACUGGGCGUAAAGGGCGUGUAGGCGGUGUGUUAAGUUUGGCGUGAAAGCUCUCGGCUAAACCGGGAGAGGUCGUUGGAUACUGGCAAACUAGAGGACGGUAGAGGCGUGUGGAAUUCCGGGUGUAGUGGUGAAAUGCGUAGAGAUCCGGAAGAACACCGGUGGCGAAGGCGGUCUGCUGGGCAGUUGCUGACACUGAGGCGCGACAGCGUGGGGAGCAAACAGG